GUUUCUUCAUCAGAACAGAGUCAUUCAUACUAGCAUCUUCCUCUCCACAGGGAGGCAGGAGACCCACGGGAGGGCGGAGCAUGACUUUUGUCCAGGAGGCUGGACUACCGACUUCAGCAGGGACUGUGCUUGGAGCAGGUGGGGGAGGUGAGAGCCAUGAGUCAAAUCGUGGGGUCAGGGCACUGCAGCACCAGAUCCUCCUUCUGAAGGACUCGUUGCCCCAGCUGUUGGGA
rnacentral:lncRNA from 1 species